CAUACGUCGUCGUUCGACCAUACGCUAGCAAACGCGAGACGCACUUGUAGCGAAAAUUACACCAAAUAAUUGUCGGAUUUUCUCUCGAAUAAUCAAAGAAAAAGGAAAGAAUUAAAAAAAAUCUAGCAAAAUAUUGUUUAAACAAAUUUGUGUAUGUGUAAAAGCCGUACGGCACGGUGGAAAAAAUACAUAAAAAAGAGGAGCAUACCACAUACAGUGCUAACGUAUAGAUACAAAGAAAUAAAAUAAAAGAAAAAAUAGUGGCCAACAUUGAUAAAAAUGAUCAAUGGAAACAUGUAAAAAUGCAAUUGGAUCUGAAAAAUAUCGAUGAAAAUUUCACAUUGAAGCAAGAAAAAAAUUUUAAUGUGAUUUAUCGAGAAGAAGACGACGAAGAAGAAAAGAAGAAUAAAAAAAUAUCAUCAGUGGUGGUGAAGGCGACGACGAGAAAAAACAAAUACACAACAAAAACAAUAGCAAUAGCAGCAACACCAACGAAGAAGACAACGACGAUAAAUGUGGCAGCCGCAGUAGCAGUGCUGAGAAAUUGACGAAAUCAACUUUUGCGAAACGUCGUACAACAACAACAAGAACAACAACAGCAGCAGCAAAAUCAUCAUACACCAAACAAAACGGGGGGAGAGAAUUCGUGUGAGUGCGAAAGAGAGAGAAAAUCAAUACUAGCAGAGCGUGCUCUGUCAAGAGUGGCAAGAGUAUAGCAGGCGGCAGCAACAAUAAUAACAACAAACACAUCAAGCUACCAAAAAAAAAAAACGAAUGAGGUGGUUGUUCAGCGCAAACGAACGAACUCAA
rnacentral:sRNA from 1 species